GACAGCAGUGCCAAACGUCCCGGACGCGAGCCUAUCCAAAUCGAUUCACUUUGAUUGCUCUCAAGUCAGGAAGGCGCACUGGCAUUUUAAGACUACUAGAUGCUCCUUAUAAUAAACACCCUGGGCAUCUGCAUAAUGGCGUAAUGCGCGUCUUAAAUUAUGGCAACGUUGACACUGCUCGAAUCUAAAAAGCCAGUUUGCUCGUGUGCGUACGUGGAGCGAGCCGAGGCGAUGUCAAACUCCUAGUCCUAGCGCGUACACGCUUAAUUUUGUAAAUUAUUGCAGAAUUACAUCUGAAACUGUGAAAGGACUCGGGGGAAACAUUGCGUCCACCCUCUCCUUCUAUGCGCAAGAAGUAGGAUGUCUUUUGUAAUAAAAAUAUAAUCAUUUAUCAGGACAAUAAGGGUCAUUUUUUGCCUUUCAUUUCGUAAGGUGCUCAUGCCUCCGAUAUUGGCAGACUCUGCAUGUAUGUUAAUAUUUGAAUUAAUGGGCGAAAAUGGAAGUCCGAUGUUGGUUAUCUGGGGACCCUGUGCGCUGGAGGGAGGGAUGGAUGGAUGGACGGAGAGAGGAGAAGAGAGAUGUGUUUUACACAGCAAUCUAUUCUGCUAGUGUUGGGGGUUAAUGACUAUUGCCAAAGAUAAGUGAAUUAUCAAAGCUGUUGCUCUUGCCUCGACUCAAAAUCCAUCACAUUGCAUCGUCGUCUAAUUAAAUACAAGUUUUAAAAGAUUGUAGGUAUUGAAAUACUCAACUAUUUCCACUGAUUUAAAAAUCUAAAGGAACGAACAACGACGUGAUUGUGGUGAACACAUCGCCUUGCCGAAGAGCCGCCCUAGUUUCCUGAGCUGCUCUGCGAGGAAGAGGGUGUGUUGGAAACAGCAUAUGGAGGGCAUGUUUGUUAGUGCGCCGCUGAUAAAUGGAUUAAUUGGUUAGAUUAGGCUGCCAAAGCUUUGAUCACAGAGACCGUGCAAAGAAAUGUGUUUAUUGUUUAUGAUGAUUUUGUUCAUUGAGCUGUAGCAUGGGCUAAAUAUGCAAUAAAUAAAAAUGAUGCACUCGUG